rnacentral:rRNA from 1 species
GACGAACGCUGGCGGCGUGCUUAACACAUGCAAGUCGAACGGUAAGGCCCUUCGGGGUACACGAGUGGCGAACGGGUGAGUAACACGUGGGUGAUCUGCCCUGCACUUCGGGAUAAGCCUGGGAAACUGGGUCUAAUACCGGAGAGGACCACUGCCUGCAUGGGUGGUGGGGGAAAGCUUUUGCGGUGUGGGAUGGGCCCGCGGCCUAGCAGCUUGUUGGUGGGGUGAUGGCCUACCAAGGCGGCGACGGGUAGCCGGCCUGAGAGGGUGACCGGCCACACUGGGACUGAGAUACGGCCCAGACUCCUACGGGAGGCAGCAGUGGGGAAUAUUGCACAAUGGGCGCAAGCCUGAUGCAGCGACGCCGCGUGAGGGAUGACGGCCUUCGGGUUGUAAACCGCUUUCGCCUGUAACGAAGCGUGAGUGACGGUAAUGGGUAAAGAAGCACUGGCUAACUACGUGCCAGCCGCCGCCGUAAGAC